CCUACGGGUGGCAGCAGUGAGGAAUAUUGGUCAAUGGACGAGAGUCUGAACCAGCCAAGUAGCGUGAAGGAUGACUGCCCUAUGGGUUGUAAACUUCUUUUAUAUGGGAAUAAAAUGUUCCACGUGUGGGAUUUUGUAUGUAUCAUAUGAAUAAGGAUCGGCUAACUCCGUGCCAGCAGCCGCGGUAAUACGGAGGAUCCGAGCGUUAUCCGGAUUUAUUGGGUUUAAAGGGAGCGUAGGUGGAUUGUUAAGUCAGUUGUGAAAGUUUGCGGCUCAACCGUAAAAUUGCAGUUGAAACUGGCAGUCGUGAGUACAGUAGAGGUGGGCGGAAUGCGUGGUGUAGCGGUGAAAUGCUGAGAGAUCACGAAGAACUCCGAUUGCGAAGGCAGCUCACUGGACUGCAACUGACACUGAGGCUCGAAAGUGUGGGUAUCAAACAGGAUUAGAGACCCCUGUAGUC
rnacentral:rRNA from 1 species